CGCACUCUGUAGCUGGGGGUUUCUGGUCACCUGUAAAAGUGAUAUAACCUGCGUCUAGAGGCUCCACACUCACAAACUGAAUCUGUCCCCCACUUCUGUCCACUCUCCGCUGCCCACACCAGCCUGUUGCCUCAGAGGAUGUAAGAGGAACGCCUACGUGCUGAGGUGAAGUGAGGUGAGUGACAUAGGCAUUGUGCAGUGGCAUUAUUCUGCUAUGUGAAGGCUAUCUGAGCACAAGAACUGCUCUAUUUCAAAAGUCAGUUUGAUAACCAAGACUGCCACUAAAUGACUGAUGAAUGAGCAGAGUAUACACUGUGGAUACGCUGGACAGAGGGAUGAUUCAUGUCCUGGAUAGGACAGAUAAUGGCCAUGAGUAACUGAAGCCAUAAAAAGUGAAAGCAGAUAAAGGGGGACUACUAUAGAAGAAGAAAAAAAUCUGGCAAGCAAGAACCCCCUCUCUUUUUGGACACAUAACUGUACACAUAUAUGAGAUGCAUUGUGAUGUGCUGAUUCAUGUAUUCACUGGACAAUGACAAAUUGGGGUAAUCUGCCUACCUAUCUGCUUAUACUUUUAAUAAAAUUUCUUUAUGGUGAAUACAUUCAAAA